rnacentral:rRNA from 1 species
UACUACCGAAGCUACGGCAUCAGUAAUGAUGGGUAGGGGAGCUUCCCAUACGGGUUGAAGCAUGACCGUAAGGACAUGUGGACAGUAUGGGAGUGAGAAUGUUGGCAUGAGUAGCGAGAUGUGGGUGAGAAUCCCACAGGCCGUAAACCCAAGGUUUCCAGGGGAAGGUUCGUCCGCCCUGGGGUAGUCGGGACCUAAGCUGAGGC